rnacentral:misc_RNA from 1 species
CGACUGCUGGCGCCUGUGUCCCUUCAAUUUUUGAAUGUUUAGCCCGAACCACAUAAAGAGUGCUUGUGUGCUGCUCCCAGACAUACUGGAAGUUGCAUUCACUACAUGUUGCGUUAGUCGUGCAUGCCCUAUGGCUUUGCACGUCGACUUGAAAGCUUUCCCGGCGUUCCCUCGUGUAGCUAGCUGCCUAGCCUGCUUUCACCAAGGACCCCUUGUGGACGCUUUUGGUCUUGGAUGCGGUAUACUGAAAAAGGCCGAUGGGGCUUUGGCCCCCCGUGCCUAGCAAAGAUUGUCCAAUCGGAAAUAACGACAUCCAGCCUAGCUGAUGCCUUGGGCAGAGGCUUGUGCUGGCUCGUCGACGAGGACGUGCUACCUGGUUGAUCCUGCCAGUAG